UUCAAAUUAAAAAACUACUAGGUUUUCACAAACGGCUCAGAAUAACAAUGCUAUCAUUUCUGCAAUCAAGUGGAUGGGUAGAUGUCACACUCUUUCCGCUUGCUGUCUGUAUUUACCUUUAUUUUUCCAAAGUAGUAUUUUCCUAUAUCUACAUUGUCUGAGUAUACAGCCAGUGUACACAAAACAUGCUCCCUAUCAUCCUUCACUUAAUCUUAAUUCUACAAGUGGUCAUAUAUUAAAUAUUCCCUCUUAGCCUUGGAGUUGCUAUAUCUGGUUAUUUUGACUUUGUGUUUCUGACAUGUCCACAGGAAGACUCAUGGGAACUCAACUCCCUGAAUCUUACAUAUUGAACCUUCUUUGACUUUAAGAAGUUGAUAGAUGUUGCUGAAUUUCUUGGAGGAUGAUAUUUGGAGGAUGAUAUUGCUAUGAAGAGAAAUCAUGACCAAA